CCGACGGUGAGAGGCGAAAGCUGGGGGCGCGAACCGGAUUAGAUACCCGGGUAGUCCCAGCCGUAAACGAUGCUCGCUAGGUGUCUGGGAUGGUGCGACCGUUUCAGGUGCCGCAGGGAAGCCGUGAAGCGAGCCACCUGGGAAGUACGGCCGCAAGGCUGAAACUUAAAGGAAUUGGCGGGGGAGCACUACAACGGGUGGAGCCUGCGGUUUAAUUGGACUCAACGCCGGAAAACUCACCUGGGGC
rnacentral:rRNA from 1 species